rnacentral:rRNA from 1 species
UAGCGAAAGCUAGUUGCAUUAACUAACUGUUAAUGCAGAAGCGACUAUGUCGUGUUCGGUUCAGGGUAGAGUGAUGAUAAUGACAUUUUCUAUCUGUGUGUCUCGACCAAACUACGUGCCAACAGUCGCGAUAAUACGUUGAAGACUAGUGUUAUUCGUCUUUAGUAGGUUUAAAGGGUACCUAGACGGUCAUUUCAGCCCCUAAAGGGUACUGUUUGUACUAGAGUUUUAUGAGAGGGGGGCUGUACUAAUGGUGUAGAGAUGACAUUCAGUCAUACCAUUACGAACAGGCAACAGCGAAGGCAACCCUUUAUGUGUAAACUGACGUUGAAGGACGAAGGCUUAGUCAACCAACAGGAUUAGAUACCCUAGCAGUCUGAGCAGACAAUGAUGAAUGCCAUAGACUGGAUAUAAAUAGAGGAAGAGGAACAAGGUGAGAGGUCUUUUUUGUUACAAAAAACAUAAAUUGUAUGUCACUUCCUUAAAAAGUGACAAAUAAUUCUUUUCCGCCUUGGUUUACCCAUUUUUUUUUUUUAGAAAAAAUAGAAAAAGAUUCUAUUUUCCACUACUUGUCUAUAAAUGAAAGUGUAAGCAUUCCACCUCAAGAGUAACGUGGCAACGCGGAAACUGAAAUCAUUAGACCGUUUCUGAAACCAGUAGUGAAGUAUGUUGUUUAAUUCGAUAAUCCGCGGUACACCUUACCACAAUUUGUAUGUUUAGUAAUAAAUACAAGAGUUGCACGGCUGUCUUCAGUUAAUGUCGUGAGAUUUUGGUUAGUUCCAUUAAAUUAACGUAAACCCUUACUUUAUUUUAGUAAAUAGAGUAGUUCACCGCUAUAUUGGAUCUGAUAAAAGGGACUAAGACAAGUCAUCAUGGCCCGAAUAUUGUGGGCUAUAGACGUGCCACAUACGCCUAUACAAAGGGAUGCGAAAUUGUGAAAU